CCUACGGGUGGCUGCAGUGGGGAAUAUUGCGCAAUGGGCGAAAGCCUGACGCAGCGACGCCGCGUGAGGGAUGAAGGUCUUCGGAUCGUAAACCUCUGUCAGCAGGGAAGAACGGUCACGGGGCUAAUCAGCAGUGAAUUGACGGUACCGGCAAAGGAAGCACCGGCUAACUCCGUGCCAGCAGCCGCGGUAAUACGGAGGGUGCGAGCGUUAAUCGGAAUUACUGGGCGUAAAGCGCUCGUAGGCGGUAUGUCCCGUCAAGGGUGAAAUCCCCGCGCUCAACGUGGGAACUGCCUUUGAAACUUGCAACCUGGCUUGUGUGAGAGGAUAGUGGAAUUCCAGUUGUAGGCG
rnacentral:rRNA from 1 species